AUUGAACGCUGGCGGCAGGCCUAACACAUGCAAGUCGAGCGGAGCGGAGGACGGGUGAGUAAUGCCUAGGAAUCUGCCUGGUAGUUGGGGAUAACGUCCGGAAACGGGCGCUAAUACCGCAUACUAUCAGAUGAGCCUAGGUCGGAGUAGCUAGUUGGUGGGGUAAAGGCCUACCAAGGCGACGAUCCGUAACUGGUCUGAGAGGAGGAGCAGUCACACGGGAAGUGAGACACGGUCCAGACUCCUACGGGAGGCAGCAGUGGGGAAUAUUGGACAAUGGGCGAAAGCCUGAUCCAGCCAUGCCGCGUGUGUGAAGAAGGUCUUCGGAUUGUAAAGCACUUUAAGUUGGGAGGCGUUACCAACAGAAUAAGCACCGGCUAACUUCGUGCCAGCAGCCGCGGUAAGUC
rnacentral:rRNA from 1 species